rnacentral:rRNA from 1 species
UACGGGAGGCAGCAGUGGGGAAUAUUGCACAAUGGGCGCAAGCCUGAUGCAGCCAUGCCGCGUGUAUGAAGAAGGCCUUCGGGUUGUAAAGUACUUUCAGUCGUGAGGAAGGUGUUAAGGUUAAUAACCUUAGCAAUUGACGUUAGCGACAGAAGAAGCACCGGCUAACUCCGUGCCAGCAGCCGCGGUAAUACGGAGGGUGCGAGCGUUAAUCGGAAUUACUGGGCGUAAAGGGCACGCAGGCGGUUAAUUAAGUUGGAUGUGAAAUCCCCGGGCUUAACCUGGGAAUGGCAUUCAAGACUGGUUAGCUAGAGUCUUGUAGAGGGGGUAGAAUUCCAUGUGUAGCGGUGAAAUGCGUAGAGAUGUGGAGGAAUACCGGUGGCGAAGGCGGCCCCCUGGACAAAGACUGACGCUCAUGUGCGAAAGCUGGGGAGCAAACAGGGAUUAGAUACC